UGGGGGAUAACAUUUGGAAACAGAUGCUAAUACCGCAUAAAACCUAACACCGCAUGGUGUAGGUUGAAAGAUGGUUUCGGCUAUCACUUUAGGAUGGACCCGCGGUGCAUUAGUUAGUUGGUGAGGUAAGGGCUCACCAAGACCGUGAUGCAUAGCCGACCUGAGAGGGUAAUCGGCCACACUGGGACUGAGACACGGCCCAGACUCUACGGAGGCAGCAGUAGGGAAUCUUCCACAAUGGACGAAAGUCUGAUGGAGCAACGCCGCGUGAGUGAAGAAGGUUUUCGGAUCGUAAAACUCUGUUGUUGGAGAAGAAUGUAUCUGAUAGUAACUGAUCAGGUAGUGACGGUAUCCAACCAGAAAGCCACGGCUAACUACGUG
rnacentral:rRNA from 1 species